AAUAGAUACCCGGGUAGUCCACGCCGUAAACUAUGGAUGCUAGCUGUUGGCCGUAUCGACCCGGUCAGUAGCGAAGCUAACGCGUUAAGCAUCCCGCCUGUGGAGUACGAGCGCAAGCUUAAAACAUAAAGGAAUUGACGGGGACCCGCACAAGCGGUGGAGCGUGUUGUUUAAUUCGAUGAUAAGCGAAGAACCUUACCCAGGCUUGACAUCCUUGGAAGGCCUCCGAAAGGAGACUGUGCCUUUUAGGAACCAAGUGACAGGUGUUGCAUGGCCGUCGUCAGCUCGUGUCGUGAGAUGUUUGGUUAAGUCCAUCAACGAGCGCAACCCUUAUAGUUAGUUGAAUUUUUCUAGCUAGACUGCCCUGGCAACAGGGAGAAGGGGGGAUGAUGUCAGGUCAGUAUUACCCUUACGUCUGGGGCUACAAACACGCUACAAUGGCCGGUACAAAGGGCAGCCAACCCGCGAGGGGAGCUAAUCCCAUCAAAGCCGGUCUCAGUUCGGAUUGCAGGCUGAAACUCGCCUGCAUGAAGCCGG
rnacentral:rRNA from 1 species